rnacentral:rRNA from 1 species
GAGUUUGAUUAUGGCUCAGAUUGAACGCUGGCGGCAUGCUUUACACAUGCAAGUCUGACGGCAGCACAGAGAAGCUUGCUUCUUGGGUGGCGAGUGGCGAACGGGUGAGUAACGCAUCGGAACGUACCGAGUAGUGGGGGAUAACUGUCCGAAAGGAUGGCUAAUACCGCAUACGCUUUGAGAAGGAAAGCGGGGGAUCUUCGGACCUCGCGCUAUUCGAGCGGCCGAUGUCUGAUUAGCUAGUUGGUGGGGUAAAGGCCUACCAAGGCGACGAUCAGUAGCGGGUCUGAGAGGAUGAUCCGCCACACUGGGACUGAGACACGGCCCAGACUCCUACGGGAGGCAGCAGUGGGGAAUUUUGGACAAUGGGCGCAAGCCUGAUCCAGCCAUGCCGCGUGUCUGAAGAAGGCCUUCGGGUUGUAAAGGACUUUUGUCAGGGAAGAAAAGCUUUGGGUUAAUAUCCCUGGAAGUGAAGAACGNAACCUGAAGAAUAAGCCCCG